rnacentral:rRNA from 1 species
AAACUCAAAGGAAUUGACGGGGCCCGCACAAGCGGUGAGCAUGUGGUUUAAUUCGAAGCAACGCGAAGAACCUUACCAGGUCUUGACAUCCCCUGACAACCCGAGAGAUCGGGCGUUCCCCCUUCGGGGGGACAGGGUGACAGGUGGUGCAUGGUUGUCGUCAGCUCGUGUCGUGAGAUGUUGGGUUAAGUCCCGCAACGAGCGCAACCCUCGACCUUAGUUGCCAGCAUUCAGUUGGGCACUCUAAGGUGACUGCCGGCUAAAGUCGGAGGAAGGUGGGGAUGACGUCAAAUCAUCAUGCCCCUUAUGACCUGGGCUACACACGUGCUACAAUGGGCGGUACAAAGGGUCGCGAACCCGCGAGGGGGAGCCAAUCCCAAAAAGCCGCUCUCAGUUCGGAUUGCAGGCUGCAACUCGCCUGCAUGAAGCCGGAAUCGCUAGUAAUCGCGGAUCAGCAUGCCGCGGUGAAUACGUUCCCGGGCCUU